CCCGCUGCUCACCUCCAAGGGCAAGCUGAUCUGCACUGUCAGUCUGUCCGAGUCCAGCUGGAUGGGGCUAAGGCUACAAAAUGGCCCCGGAGAAUAGAGCGCUGCAAUGGCUGGCUGGGUCUGCCCGCCCUCCCACCUCUGUGUGGGGAGGAGGAUCCACACUGGGUGGCUCCUCAGGACAAGGCCGGAAGGAAAUGGGAAUAAGGGCGGAUGCAGGCAGAGAUGGGCCCCAGAGAGAUGCAAAAAGUGACAGAGCUUCUGUUUCCUACCAUAUUUGCUUAAUCUUAUGAAUUCUGGUAAGUGGUUAUAAAUCGUUAGACCCGAUCUAAGCAAAACGCAUUGAAGAUCAUUUUACUAACAAAAUGAAAAUGUCUGUUCACGCCGUACAACAAGUAGACCUGGAGUGAAUGACAACCUGCUUUGCUCACAAUCCACUAGAACCUUCCAUCUCUGAGCACAGCAGUGUCAGUGAUGCUUCUGGGCCUUCCAGGACCUGCCUUGGCUUUCUGACCUCACCGCCUACACUUUUCCUCCCACCCUGGUGCCAGCCACACGCCUCACCACCGCCGCGACAUGGCACACGUGCUUCCCCUGGCUUCUGGCACUUUCUGUUCUCAUGUCUGGACUGCUCUCCCCGGUUCAUUUCAUCACCUGUUCAGGGACUGGCAAAAUGGGGAGGUGGAGUUCACAUCCUCAGAAAAUUGAACUUUCUUCAGCAAGGAGAUGUUCCUGUCUACUGGAGAGUCCCAGAGCAGCUGUCCCUGGACUUCCAGACAACUCCGGCCAGCCCUGUGGUCAACUUGGCAUUUAAGUCGGAAAAACAGGAAAGUAUCGUACAAAAAAGGUGGAAAGGCCGAGGGGGCGGGGCCUGCCUCGCUCCAGAAGGGACAGCUCUUUCCCAUCACGCCCCAAAGACCAGGGCGCCGCAGCUCUAGCCGCUGGGCACUGCUCCCAUCGAAGGCCUUUCCUUGAAGCCCUGGACGCCUUGGUGGGGAUCGUAGAAACAGGAGAAAGUACCUGAACGGACAUCGAGGCCUGCUCACCCUCUUCCUCGGGAGAAAUCUGCUGACAGAUCAUUUCUGCAAGGCAGUGACCUCGGCCGAAACUUUGUAACUCAUCGAUCAUUUCACUCCAUCCCUCCAAGGCUGAGGGGUGGGUCAGGCUGACUGCCAACAGCCACCAUUCACCAGCAGGAAGAAGUGGAGUCAAACAUGAGGAAGAAUUUCCUGGCUCCCUGGGUAAGAAAGAUGGGAAUGGGAUGAGCCAGAAAGGAUGUGGGCCUCGUAGGUCUUCCUGCUAAUGUCAGAGAAAGCCCCGCUCAGCUAUUCAGCUAUGAAGAGUAAACCAGUUCAGAGGCUGGGGUCACGGAGGGCCCCACUGCCCAGAAACAAAUCGGCUCUCCCCCUUUCCAGCCGUGUGGUCUCAGGUAUGUUAUUUUGCCUUUCCAGCCUCAAUCCGUAGAUGCAGAUGUCUGUCCAAAAAAUGUUUGUGAGAAUCAAAUGAGCUCUUGCAUGCCGAGUACUCAGCACAAUACCCUGACGCACCAGUGCAUAAUUAAUGUCCGCUGCUCUUAGUAGUAUUGGAUACAGUCAGUACCAGAAGGAGACCAGGGAGGGGCGGGGCAGGCCCACACCGCCAGACACUGCUGUAACCUCCAGCUCCUCCCAAGGGGCAGUUCCACUCCAUUUCCUUAGGUCUUGUCCUAGAAUUCACACGUUGUUAUACAGCAUUCCUUAAAUAUUGGGGUUCCGCAUGCACAGUGAUUCUAUAUCCUCCAACGUCCUUUAGAAGACAGAAGCCUAAGGAAGCCCCUGGCCAGGCCGGGCCUCUUCCCAUCCUCUCUGAAAGCUCUCCCAACUUGCUGUCCUCUUGCUUCUAAAGGGGCCAGCCUUCUGCCAGCUCCUCUCUCACCCUGAGUCCCAGGUUGGGACUUCAGACUAAAUAAGGACCCUCCUGUCCUGCCCUGGGAGUUCUACACCUCAUUCCAGCACUCUGGGCCACCCAAAUAUGGAACUUCCCAGCACCUCCCCUGGGGCUUGGCUCCUGGAUGGAGGCAGAGAGAACCGGCCACGGGCUCCAACAUUCCCUUCUAGGGCGGAAGGCAGGGACUGGCCUGAAUCAUUUCCCGUAAGACCAAAUUCAGCUGGGAUUCCAAGAUCGAGGGACAGGCAGAAGGUGAAGAUAAGCACGUUGGGGUAAGAGGUCUCUCGACUGAUCUCUCCAGCAAGAGGCCCUGGAAUUCAGGCCGGAGACAGCAGGGCCUACCAGCUGAGCCCUCCAGAUGACUUUCCUGCCUGCUAACGGAGCAGCUCCCGAUUCCACGUCGGGAUCUCACUGCUCUUUUCUCCCUGCCUUAGAAACUGCCGCCAGUCCUGUCUCCAUGGUCCACCUUCGACACCCCACCAUGGCCCCCUGCCCCUCCGCCUUCACCAGGUGAUAUAGCCAGGGACUCUCAGCUCACUUGUGAGGGCCAGGAGAGACCCAGUCCAGGGGAAGGUGGAUGGGAAGCCAGGGUAUCUACUGAUCCAGUGAGCCUGAGAGCGGCUGGAUUAGCGGGUGCCCUUGUGAGGGAGGUGAGCUUCUGGACGCCCCUGCCUUGAGGGACCCUGUGAUGCUGUUUGGAAACAGAGGGAAGAGGCAGCCCCAGGGGAGAGGUCAGAGCCCCCUCAUCAGGCCCGAAGACGGGGAGUGACUGUGACCAACCCCCUGCAAAAGUUGAAGCAUAAGUAAUUUAUCAGAAAGAGGACCCUGACUUCCAGACCAGCCCCUGGUUUGCCUGCAGGAGCCCCAGCAUGUGGGGCAGUGAGGGUGAACACUUGACAGGAAGCCUUUGUCAAGGUCAGAGGGCAGGCAAGGCUCCCAAGGGCUUCCUCUGUUCCUGCAUUCUCGGAGGACAGCCCAGGGCUGGCCUGCUGGGCCCUGUCCCAUCAGCUACCACCAGCUAAGCUAGACCAGCUCUUCUUCCCACCAGGGCUGGCUGGUAACCCCACCUGUCCCAGGAGGGAGCUGGUCACAGCUCAGAGACAGGUACCUGGCCGCGGGGCACCACAGCUUGCUAAUAGGAACUGGCUACCCCUGCUGAGGUCCUCUGGGUCCCUGCUCCCAGGACAAAGACCAUGCCCAGAGGAGUUCCCCCGACUUUGCCUACUCCAUCACCCUGUCUUCUUCCUGCCCAUCCCAGACCCUCAGGAACGGGGAUGCAGGUGGCCAAGCCAGGCAGAACCCAGGACUGAAUGAUCAGAGAGCUUCUUUGGGGACUCACCUGGGCUCAGCCAACAAGGAGGGUGGCCCUUACUGCCACCCAGGCCCAGACCCUGCUAGCCUCUCCCUCGCAUAUGAGGGAAAGCCCUUCGGUCCUGUGGGUUAGCUGGAAUUCAUCACCCACUGGGUGGGAAAAGGGAAACGACAAGUCUUUGAGGAACCCACUGCCCGCCGGGUGCUGCUCUGCUGCUGGGAAUGAGCAAGGAGUGGCGAUGCCUCAGACCGCUGGGCCGAACACAGCCCCUCAGAGCUCCGGUGCCCAGGAGCUGCACUGGGUACCCGGGACCACACUGGCCUGGGACCCUGGAGACGUGAGGCUGUUCCCAAUGGCUGUUGGUUGCACAACCCUGCCCCCUGCCCCCAGCCCUUCUCUCCAGCCCAGCUUUCUACAACUGUUUCUAAUCCCCAACACCUCCUCACCCUGCCCUAGGUCCCGCUCCUUCUUCCCCAUGCCACCCCCAAGCCUGACUUCCUCCGCCAGCUGACCGGGAGCCCCUCCUCCGCGAGCAGGCUGCAGGCAGAGGCUCUGGCGGCAGCUGGCCCCUGUUAGCCGACGAUGAAGCAACAUUUGGGAACAGAGAGGGGCCCUCAGGACCCCCAGCAGCCUGGCCCCUCUUCCUAGCCAGCACUCAGCCCUUUCUCACUCCCUCUGAAAGAAGGCAAUGGUUUGAGAGUCCUGGGAGCAGUGAACCGCUGGGGACAGGACACCGCUGCUGCAGCCUCCCUGCAGGCACGAAGCCCGCGCAGCUCCACGAGGCCGGUCUCCUGCCCUCAUCAGGGCAGCCCUGGGGCUGGCACGCCGGGUCCACCUGGGCGCUGAGUCCAGUCCCUGCUGCUCUUAGCUGGGUGGCUUUAGGCUGGUCGGCCCAACCACAGGUAGAGAUCUGGUGAGCAUCUGGCAAAUAGGCAGCCCUCGGUCCUUCUGGAUUUCGUUCUGGGGGCACAGAGCACCUGGGAACAAAGGGGCCUUCACUCUCCCGUCAACGCUUCCUGUGAUGCAGGAUGGACAGGACCCCCUUUCUCAGAGCUCCCAGGUGGGCUGAGAUGUCAGCCCCCAGACUCCCCGGCAUAUCACACUGUCUCACAGCGGGUCCCUCAGCAUUGCGUGUACAUGUGAGUAUGUGUGUGUGUGUGUGUGCACGUGUCAGGGGAUUGUGUAGCCUUUAUCGAACCCGCUAAUUACUUUAAGUGCUUUGUUUUAUAAGCUCCUCCCUUCUCAUUCUACAACCACCCGUGAGCUAGGUGUAUUACUUCCAGGUAAUGAUGAGAAAACUCAGCCAGGGACAAACUGAGUAACCUGCUGAGAAUAAAAACUACCUUUGGAUUCAAACCCGAAUCUGACUGGCUCUGAAGCCCGGGGUUUACUAGGCUGCUCCACUGCCUCCCAUGUUUUACCUGCCCUCAAGAAAAAUGCUUCCUGGGACCAGCAGUUGGCGUAAUGGCUAUGUCGUUGAACUCCCAUGUAGUUGACCACGGUU